GAAAUGAAUUAAAGAUUUAUCGGUGAUGGAUGGGGAUGCGUCUGAUUAGCUUGUUGGCGGGGUAACGGCCCACCAAGGCGACGAUCAGUAGGGGUUCUGAGAGGAAGGUCCCCCACAUUGGAACUGAGACACGGUCCAAACUCCUACGGGAGGCAGCAGUGAGGAAUAUUGGGUCAAUGGGCAAGAGCCUGAACCAGCCAAGUAGCGUGCAGGAAGACGGCCCUAUGGGUUGUAAACUGGCUUUUAUGCGGGGAUAAAGUGGGCCACGCGUGGCCUUUUGCAGGUACCGCAUGAAUAAGGACCGGCUAAUUCCGUG
rnacentral:rRNA from 1 species